GGCGCGUUGGCAGAGUGGCUAUGCAGCGGAUUGCAAAUCCGUAGACCUCGGUUCGACUCCGGGACGGGCCUCCA
rnacentral:tRNA from 1 species